rnacentral:rRNA from 1 species
UACGGAGGGUGCAAGCGUUAUCCGGAUUCACUGGGUUUAAAGGGUGCGUAGGUGGGUUGGUAAGUCAGUGGUGAAAUCUCCAGGCUUAACUUGGAAACUGCCAUUGAUACUAUCAAUCUUGAAUACCGUGGAGGUCAGCGGAAUAUGUCAUGUAGCGGUGAAAUGCUUAGAUAUGACAUAGAACACCAAUUGCGAAGGCAGCUGGCUACACGAAUAUUGACACUGGAUGCACGAAAGCGUGGGAUCAAACAGGA